CUCUACGCAGAAUAUGAGGAGAAGUCCACUCCAAAGGCUUUCUUCAUUGCAACUUGAAAUGCUGAUAUGUUGACAGAAGGAUUAGUAAAAACAUUACCCACCAAGAUAAGACGACAAUCGUGCAGUUUGGCCGAGGAAGGAAGAUCAUCCCAGACCUCCAGCUCCUGUUCGAGCAUAGUUGACCCAGGCGACUGCAUAGAGAAGCAAUUCUGGAGAUCGGCUACAUGCAAAGCUGGAAAAAUCAGAAGUGAAGAGAUAAUGAGGAAAAACUCGAACGAGAAUAAGGUGAGGACUGGAAGUAUAGGAAGAAGAUGUGCAUGCAGAAGAGUGAAAGAAGAACGGAUACAAUUAAGGUAGAAGUAGCGACGAGCUCCGAAAGUGCAAAA